rnacentral:rRNA from 1 species
UACAGAGGGUGCGAGCGUUAAUCGGAUUUACUGGGCGUAAAGGGCGCGUAGGCGGUUAUGUAAGUUAGAUGUGAAAUCCCUGGGCUUAACCUAGGAACUGCAUCUCAUACUGCGUAGCUAGAGUAUUGUAGAGGGUAGUGGAAUUUCCGGUGUAGCGGUGAAAUUCGUAGAGAUUGGGUGGAACACCAGUGGCGAAGGCGCCUAUCUGGCUGACAACUGACGCUGAGACGCGAAAGCAUGGGGAGCAAACAGG